ACAAUGGAACAGUCUAUGCAUCCGUUCCACGUGCAUUCCAUGCAGUCUCACGUGCAAGCGCGUUGCUAUGAAUGGCGGCACAUGGGCUCGAGUAUAGGAGGAAUCAGUGGUGUGAUACGUGAAUAUAUGGAUUCUGGAAGAAGAGACAACAGGCCCCGGAUUGAAGAGAACAGUGCUGUGACAGAUUCCUGGAGCACCUCCUACAGAGCCAUCAGCUAGCAUCCAUACACAU
rnacentral:lncRNA from 1 species